rnacentral:rRNA from 1 species
GAUGAACGCUGGCGGCGUGCCUAAUACAUGCAAGUCGAGCGAAAAGACGAUGAGCUUGCUCCUCUGACGUUAGCGGCGGACGGGUGAGUAACACGUGGAUAACCUACCUAUAAGACUGGGAUAACUUCGGGAAACCGGAGCUAACACCGGAUAAUAUAUUGAACCGCAUUGUUCAUUAGUGAAAGACGGUUUUGCUGUCACUUAUAGAUGGAUCCGCGCUGCAUUAGCUAGUUGGUACGGUAACGGCUUACCAAGGCAACGAUGCCUAGCCGACCGGCGAGGGUGAUCGGCCACACUGGAACUGAGACACGGUCCAGACUCCUACGGGAGGCAGCAGUAGGGAAUCUUCCGCAAUGGGCGAAAGCCUGACGGAGCAACGCCGCGUGAGUGAUGAAGGUCUUCGGAUCGUAAAACUCUGUUAUUAGGGAAGAACAAAUGUGUAAGUAACUAUGCACGUCUUGACGGUACCGAAUCAGAAAGCCACGGCUAACUACGUG